rnacentral:lncRNA from 1 species
CCUCCGCUUCUCCUUCGGGCCCUUGGGCUCGGCCAGGCGCCAGUCGGAAGCUCCUUCGUCUGCGCGCAUGUACUUGUACACAUGCUCAAGUAAUUCAGCGUACGUUCGGGGGAGGGUCUUGUCCAAAGAGUAUGUGAACCGGGAUGCCCUCAGCCCUCGCUUCAUGGCCGAGAUGGCCAUGUCUUCAUUGAGGUCCCGAACCUCAAGCGUAGCCGC